GUUUAGGUGGCAGAGCUCGGUUAAUGCAAAAGACCUAAGCCCUUUUAACAGGGGUUCAAAUCCCCUCCUGAACU
rnacentral:tRNA from 1 species